UACGUAGGGUGCAAGCGUUGUCCGGAAUUAUUGGGCGUAAAGAGCGUGUAGGCGGCCUGGUAGGUCCGCUGUGAAAUCUCGAGGCUCAACCUCGAGAUGUCGGCGGAAACCACUUGGCUAGAGUCCGGAAGAGGAGAGUGGAAUUCCUGGUGUAGCGGUGAAAUGCGCAGAUAUCAGGAAGAACACCUAUGGCGAAGGCAGCUCUCUGGGACGGUACUGACGCUGAGACGCGAAAGCGUGGGGAGCGAACAGG
rnacentral:rRNA from 1 species